rnacentral:rRNA from 1 species
AGAAUGCUGCGGUGAAUACGUUCCCGGGCCUUGUACACACCGCCCGUCACACCAUGGGAGUUGAUCUCACCAGAAGUGGUUAGCCUAACGCAAGAGGGCGAUCACCACGGUGGGGUCGAUGACUGGGGUGAA